GACGAAUGCUGGCGGCGUGCCUAAUACAUGCAAGUUGAGCGAUGAAGAUUGGUGCUUGCACCAAUUUGAAGAGCAGCGAACGGGUGAGUAACGCGUGGGGAAUCUGCCUUUGAGCGGGGGACAACAUUUGGAAACGAAUGCUAAUACCGCAUAACAACUUUAAACAUAAGUUUUAAGUUUGAAAGAUGCAAUUGCAUCACUCAAAGAUGAUCCCGCGUUGUAUUAGCUAGUUGGUGAGGUAAAGGCUCACCAAGGCGAUGAUACAUAGCCGACCUGAGAAGGUGAUCGGCCAAAUUGGGACUGAGACACGGCCCAAACUCCUACGGGAGGCAGCAGUAGGGAAUCUUCGGCAAUGGACGAAAGUCUGACCGAGCAACGCCGCGUGAGUGAAGAAGGUUUUCGGAUCGUAAAACUCUGUUGGUAGAGAAGAACGUUGGUGAGAGUGGAAAGCUCAUCAAGUGACGGUAACUACCCAGAAAGGGACGGCUAACUACGUGCCAGCAGCCGCAGUAA
rnacentral:rRNA from 1 species